rnacentral:tRNA from 1 species
UGGGGUUGUAGCUCAGUGGUAGAGCGCUUUCCUUGCACGUGUGAGGAAUGAGUUCGAUCCUCAGCGCCACAA